rnacentral:piRNA from 1 species
UAACCAUUCCAUAGUAGACUC